rnacentral:rRNA from 1 species
GAUGAACGCUGGCGGCGUGCCUAAUACAUGCAAGUCGAGCGAACGGACGAGAAGCUUGCUUCUCUGAUGUUAGCGGCGGACGGGUGAGUAACACGUGGAUAACCUACCUAUAAGACUGGGAUAACUUCGGGAAACCGGAGCUAAUACCGGCUAAUAUUUUGAACCGCAUGGUUCAAAAGUGAAAGACGGUCUUGCUGUCUCAUAUAGAUGGAUCCGCGCUGCAUUAGCUAGUUGGUAAGGUAACGGCGUACCAAGGCAACGAUGCAUAGCCGACCUCAGAGGGUGAUCGGCCACACUGGAACUGAGACACGGUCCAGACUCCUACGGGAGGCAGCAGUAGGGAAUCUUCCGCAAUGGGCGAAAGCCUGACGGAGCAACGCCGCGUGAGUGAUGAAGGUCUUCGGAUCGUAAAACUCUGUUAUUAGGGAAGAACAUAUGUGUAAGUAACUGUGCACAUCUUGACGGUACCUAAUCAGAAAGCCACGGCUAACUACGUG